UUUUUACAUAAUUAAGGAAAUAUCUCCUAUCUUAUUCCAUGGAUUUUCUGAUUGGAAGUGAGGUACUGUAGAGAUUGGUAAUGGAGAGAAAUAGGGAUUUUAUGUCGGUAUUUUUUUCUGAUUUAGGGUAUUUUUCUUGAAUUGAUUUUGCGUUGAAUUGCAAAUUGGUGUGUAAAAUUGAUAACAAUCAUGCAUUUGCUUUAAGAUUGGGCGUCUUUGUUCGUUGACUGGAAAUUACUCGAUUGCCCUAUUUCUAUUUUAUAAUUUUGGGUAGGUCUAAUCAAUGUGAGUUACAUGAGUUCUUGUGCUGAACUUUGGUGUAACAUGUGAACCUUAAAGUUUGAGGGUUGCUUGAAAGAAGAAAUAUGUCGCGAGAAUGGACAAUAUGGAGAUUGAGCUUUUUUGAGAAAACACUCUUUGAUGAUUAAUGGAGUCAAAUUAAACAAGAUAAGCAAAGAGUGAGUGCAAUACUUAGAAUGCUAGCAAAAUUGUAUUUUGCCAGUGCCCUUCUACUCAAUUGUUACAAUGUUGUGUUGUUUAUAACUGGCAAUGAGUUAGCUAUGGAUUCAUAUCUAGCUGGAGUAAAAUAUAAUAUUCUAAAAUAUACUUUUGUCUUGGUCUUUAUGAGAUUAGUCAAGGAUUAUUAGUUUCCAGGUGUAGGCUUGUAGCCAAUGUUAUGGUCAUAACUAGUUCUAGUUGGACAUAUACAUCUUCAUUUCUUCAAUCUUCCCAAGUGUAUGCUACACACAGUUUGUGUGAUUAAAGUUGAGGAUGGUGAUACUCUUGAUGAAGCUAAUGCGAUGAUACCCAAUACUCUAUCAGGACAUGAGUUUAAGAGUCUUGCUCCUGUAAGUGCAGUACUGCCUAGAUAAUUGCACUUCAUGACUCAUUGGUUCUAGAAGAGUAUGAAGGUAAUUGGCUGCAGAAUGCAGAAACAUGAGGUUGAGGACAAAGUUCAAAAGUGGAGUGAUUACAUGAGGAAAGUUGCUUAAAGAGGACAUCUGCAAGAAAAAAGAACCACUAAAGGAGGAAAAGGAGGAUCACAUAUUUAGGGAAACAAACAAUAUACCUACUCCAUAUAUUCAGAGGCGCUAAGCCUCACUUCAUUCUACCACAUAUAUAUAGAUAUACUACUCCUCAUUUAACAACACUAUUUCAUUUUUUUAUAGUGAAAUUAUCACAGAAGCUAAAUAUUCCUUGUUUCA